rnacentral:rRNA from 1 species
AGUGAACGCUGGCGGUAGGCCUAACACAUGCCAGUCGAACGGCAGCACAGUAAGAGCUUGCUCUUACGGGUGGCGAGUGGCGGACGGGUGAGGAAUACAUCGGAAUCUACUUUUUCGUGGGGGAUAACGUAGGGAAACUUACGCUAAUACCGCAUACGACCUACGGGUGAAAGCAGGGGAUCUUCGGACCUUGCGCGAUUGAAUGAGCCGAUGUCGGAUUAGCUAGUUGGCGGGGUAAAGGCCCACCAAGGCGACGAUCCGUAGCUGGUCUGAGAGGAUGAUCAGCCACACUGGAACUGAGACACGGUCCAGACUCCUACGGGAGGCUGCAGUGGGGAAUAUUGGACAAUGGGCGCAAGCCUGAUCCAGCCAUACCGCGUGGGUGAAGAAGGCCUUCGGGUUGUAAAGCCCUUUUGUUGGGAAAGAAAAGCAGCAGGUUAAGACCCCGCUGUUCUGACGGUACCCAAAGAAUAAGCACCGGCUAACUUCGU